GUUCAGACUUCAGACAGCUCACUUCAGAGACAGAGCACUGCUGCUGCGGUGAUGCUCCUAAGCCUCCUGUGCCCUAGCUAGGUAACUGAAGAUGGCUUUGACAAAAGAGGAGAGAACUGAGGUCAUUUUGAUGUCUGGAGAACUAAGUUUCCGUGUUAUAGCUACAGAUUUUAACAACCGGCACCCAGAAAGACCUCCAAUUUUCUAUAACACUGUCAGAUGCUGCCUUUGAUGAAGAGUAAAGAGGGGAGCUGCGGUUGACAUUGUUAUUGGACAUUAUACUGAAC